GACGAACGCUGGCGGCGUGCUUAACACAUGCAAGUCGAACGGUGAAGCGCCUUCCUUUUUGGUGGGUGUGGAUGAGUGGCGAACGGGUGAGUAACACGUGAGUAACCUGCCCCCUUCUUCUGGAUAACCGCAUGAAAGUGUGGCUAAUACGGGAUAUUCUGGGUCUGUCGCAUGAUGGGUCUGGGAAAGAUAUUGUUUCGGUGGGGGAUGGGCUCGCGGCCUAUCAGCUUGUUGGUGGGGUGAUGGCCUACCAAGGCGGGGACGGGUAGCCGGCCUGGGAGGGUGGACGGUCACACUGGGACUGAGACACGGCCCAGACUCCGACGGGAGGCAGCAGUGGGGAAUAGUGCACAAUGGGCGCAAGCCUGAUGCAGCGACGCCGCGUGAGGGAUGGAGGCCUUCGGGUUGUGAACCUCUUUCGCCAGUGAAGCAGGCCUGCCUCGUUUGUGGGUGGGUUGACGGUAGCUGGAUAAGAAGCGCCGGCUAACUACGUG
rnacentral:rRNA from 1 species